rnacentral:rRNA from 1 species
AUUGAACGCUGGCGGCAUGCCUUACACAUGCAAGUCGAACGGUAACAGGUCUUCGGAUGCUGACGAGUGGCGAACGGGUGAGUAAUGCAUCGGAACGUGCCCAGUAGUGGGGGAUAGCCCGGCGAAAGCCGGAUUAAUACCGCAUACGACCUGAGGGGGAAAGGGGGGGAUCGCAAGACCUCUCGCUUUUGGAGCGGCCGAUGUCAGAUUAGCUAGUUGGUGGGGUAAAGGCCUACCAAGGCAACGAUCUGUAGUUGGUCUGAGAGGACGACCAGCCACACUGGGACUGAGACACGGCCCAGACUCCUACGGGAGGCAGCAGUGGGGAAUUUUGGACAAUGGGCGCAAGCCUGAUCCAGCAAUGCCGCGUGCAGGAAGAAGGCCUUCGGGUUGUAAACUGCUUUUGUCAGGGAAGAAAUCUUCUGGGUUAAUACCUCGGGAGGACGACGGUACCUGAAGAAUAAGCACCGGCUAACUACGUGCCAGCAGCCGCCGUAA